UGGGGAAUUUUGCGCAAUGGGCGAAAGCCUGACGCAGCAACGCCGCGUGUGUGAUGAAGGUUUUCGGAUCGUAAAGCACUUUCGACCGGGAAGAAAAUGCAUUGGCUAACAUCCAAUGACCUGACGGUACCGGGAGAAGAAGCACCGGCUAACUCUGUGCCAGCAGCCGCGGUAAUACAGAGGGUGCAAGCGUUGUUCGGAAUUAUUGGGCGUAAAGCGCGUGUAGGCGGCUUUGCAAGUCGGGUGUGAAAUCCCUCAGCUUAACUGAGGAAGUGCGCCCGAAACUGCAGAGCUUGAGUACCGGAGAGGAUGGUGGAAUUCCCCAAGUAGAGGUGAAAUUCGUAGAUAUGGGGAGGAACACCGGUGGCGAAGGCGACCAUCUGGACGGAUACUGACGCUGAGACGCGAAAGCGUGGGGAGCAAACAG
rnacentral:rRNA from 1 species